CAGCGCCACGAGUGGGGGUCACGAUUAUUAGGCCUAAAGCGUCCGUAGCCGGUUCAGCAAAUCCUUUGUGAAAUCGUUGGGCUCAACCCAACGGCGUGCAGGGGACACUACUGAACUAGGGACCGGGAGGGGUUGGAGGUAUUUCUGAGGGAGCGGUAAAAUGCUAUAAUCUCAGGAGGACCACCUGUGGCGAAGGCGUCCAACCAGAACGGAUCCGACGGUGAGGGACGAAAGCUGGGGGAGCGAUCCGGAUUAGAUACCCGAGUAGUCC
rnacentral:rRNA from 1 species